UACAGAGGGUGCAAGCGUUAAUCGGAAUUACUGGGCGUAAAGCGCGCGUAGGUGGUUUGUUAAGUUGAAUGUGAAAUCCCCGGGCUCAACCUGGGAACUGCAUGCAAAACUGGCAAGCUAGAGUAUGGUAGAGGGUGGUGGAAUUUCCUGUGUAGCGGUGAAAUGCGUAGAGAUCGUAAGGAAGACCAGUGGCGAAGGCGAGUCUCUGGAAAGCUGCUGACGCUGAGGCACGAAGGCCAGGGGAGCAAACGGG
rnacentral:rRNA from 1 species